rnacentral:rRNA from 1 species
CCCUUAGAUGUUCUGAGCCGCACGCGCGCUACACUGAUCAGUGCAACAAGCAUCCGUCCUUGGCCGACAGGCCCGGGCAAUCUUUGAACGCUGAUCGUGAUGGGGAUAGACUUUUGCAAUUUUUGGUCUUCAACGAGGAAUUCCUAGUAAACGCAAGUCAUCAACUUGCAUUGAUUACGUCCCUGCCCUUUGUACACACCGCCCGUCGCACCUACCGAUUGAAUGGUCCGGUGAAGCCUCCGGAUUGGCGUGCACCCUCGGGUGCUGCCGAGAAGUUGGCUAAACCUUACCAUUUAGAGGAAGGUGAAGUCGUAACA